rnacentral:lncRNA from 1 species
CCGACCUCGUAUCGUCACCCCUCACCCAUGUGCCCCCCUGGCUGGUCCCAAACACGCAGUGCACGUUCCCACCACCCGACCUUUGCAACUGCGGUCCCCUCUGCCUGCAUCACCCUUCCUCCAGAUACCUACAUGACUCACUUCCUCGCUUCCGUCCAGCCUCUGCUCAAAUGUCACCUCCUCAGACAGGCUUCUCUGGCCCCCGAACUAAAAUAGCUGCUUUACUCUCCUCUGAGCAUGUCUAGAAUUUCUGUUGCUGAACUGUCUGUCUCUCCCGCGAUGGCAGGGACCUGGGCUGGUUUGCUCUCUCCUGUGUCCGCAGCUCCUAGAAAAGCAGCAGACACCAAUUAUGCAACUGUUCCUCUGACAGCGCCCUUUUUCUUUCUCGACCCAUCGGGCAACACAGAGCAUCCUUCUGGACUUGUGCCUCUGCAUCUACCGCAGUGGUAGAAAACCAGCCUCCCUGUUCUGGCCCUUGCCUGCUUCCCCUCCCCUUGGCUGUGUUUCUGAGAACUUUCCAUGUUGAUGAGUUCAGAACGGGCUCAUUCUUUGUACCUGCUGUGCUUUGCUGGCCGCAUGCCUGUGCACCCUCCUGCCCCCCACCCCACCCCCGUCUGCCUGCUUCGGGAC